rnacentral:rRNA from 1 species
UCAAGAUGAGAUUUCCCAACUUCGGUUAUAAGAUCCCUCAAAGAUGAUGAGGUUAAUAGGUUCGAGGUGGAAGCAUGGUGACAUGUGGAGCUAACGAAUACUAAUCGAUCGAAGACUUAAUCAA